rnacentral:lncRNA from 1 species
UGGUCUGACUAAUACUUACUGGAAGAGAGGUUCCCUUUCCUCCUUACCAGAGGGAUACACUUCCCUUCAGGGUUUCUUAAUGCUUAAUUUCCAGCUUUAUCAGCAAAAGGCCCUUUGCUUGUUUUCUCAGCUCUUGGGCCUCCUGAGUCUCCCAAGCCACUCUUCUUUUCUAAUCAAGCAGCAGCAUAUACUAACCUAGUUGUCUCAUUUGGCAGAGUUACUUGAUAGGAAGAAAAUCUGGCAAGGCGACUAGAAAAUAUAAAAGUAAAUGUUGUAAAGUAAAGCUGUACUCUCCCAGAGGUCUCCCAACAUAAGAGAACUAUUGUGCUUCAAAUUGGUGACAACAGGUCAGCACUCCAAACAUGUUAUGCUGCCAGGAAGUUCUUUCAUAGGUUAUUGUUUUGUAUCCCCAAAUAGAUAUGAUUGAUACCAGAAUGAUUUGAGUUUUAUAAAGAAAACAUUGUUGAGCUACCUUAGAUC